UGCCAAGAUAAUGUCAUAUUUUCAAAUUCAAACAAUUUUCAAAAAUUAUUUGUAUUUAAAUAGUGUUAAGAUAUGAAAUACACCUUUUCAUAAUAUUUAAAUUGUGCUAUAUAAAGAAGAAUUAUUAUCAAAUAAUAGCAUUAUAUAAGAUAGUAUUAAGCAAGGAGCACUGUGGAAAGGAAAUUGUCAAACUCUGAAGCUCCAGCUCCAAAACAGAGAAAAAUAUACUGUUUUUCUUUCAUUUUUCACACCCUCGAUGGGCUAAGAUAUAACAACUAUUUUCUUUUGGAUCGCAUAAAACAACAACAGCUUCCUUGACCAUCAUAUAAAGACAUUUAACGAAGUGAUUUUUAAGAAUUUGUAUAAUCAUUUGAUAUUAAAAAUUUAUUUUGGAUAUUUAUUUAAAUUCCAAAUUAAUUUUUUUACGAUCUCUGUUAAUACAUUGUGUAUUCCAAAUUUCGAAUUGUAAAAGGUAAACGGACAGAAAGUAAGACGGAAUCAUCUGAAUGCUGGAUAUCGCAUAGAAUCAUCAUACUCUUUCAACUAUGUGAAUAAAUGGAGGACGUAUGUAUUUCAAUAUAUAA